GUGGGCCUACGGGAGGCAGCAGUAGGGAAUCUUCCACAAUGGGCGAAAGCCUGAUGGAGCAACGCCCCGUGGGUGAAGAAGGUCUUCGGAUCGUAAAACCCUGUUGUUAGAGAAGAAAGUGCGUGAGAGUAACUGUUCACGUUUCGACGGUAUCUAACCAGAAAGCCACGGCUAACCACGUGCCAGCAGCCGCGGUAAUACGUAGGUGGCAAGCGUUAUCCGGAUUUAUUGGGCGUAAAGGGAACGCAGGCGGUCUUUUAAGUCUGAUAUGAAAGCCUUCGGCUUAACCGGAGUA
rnacentral:rRNA from 1 species